rnacentral:rRNA from 1 species
GAUGAACGCUGGCGGCGUGCCUAAUACAUGCAAGUCGAGCGAACAGACGAGGAGCUUGCUCCUCUGACGUUAGCAGCGGACGGGUGAGUAACACGUGGGUAACCUACCUAUAAGACUGGGAUAACUUCGGGAAACCGGAGCUAAUACCGGAUAAUAUCUUUAACCGCAUGGUUCAAUAGUGAAAGACGGUUUUGCUUUCCCUUAUAGAUGUAUCCGCGCCGCAUUAGCUAGUUGGGAAGUUAACGGCUUACCAAGGCAACGAUGAGUAGCCGACCUGAGAGGGUGAUCGGCCACACGGGAACGGAGACACGGUCCAGACUCCUACGGGAGGCAGCAGUAGGGAAUCUUCCGCAAUGGGCGAAAUCCUGACGGAGCAACGCCGCGUGAGUGAUGAAGUUCUUCGGAUCGUAAAACUCUGUUAUUAGGGAAGAACAAAUGUGUAAGUAACUAUGCACGUCUUGACGGUACCUAAUCAGAAAGCCACGGCUAACUACGUG